ACAAAAUAGCUAGAUAUAAACCAGAGUCAUCUGAAGCUACAUAAGAUAUGCAUUGUUAUAUACUUUAUCAAAUUCGAAACUUUAUACCCUGGAAGAGAAGCAUGAAAGAUCAGAGCAAGGGUUAUCAGAAGGGGAGCUCCAUAGUUGGCAGUUAUGAUCUUGAAUUUGUUGUAUUUGCUAAAGGAUUGUCUGCCACUGACAUCAAUGAUUAUAUAACUUUUAUCACAUAAUUAGUCUGAGCAAAUUGUUGAACAUAUUGAUGCACGGGUAACAGGAUAAUUUUCCUGUGUUUGUAUAAAUAUUUUCUUUUAGUUUCAAA